AUUGAACUCUGGCUGCAGGCCUAACACAUGCAAGUCGAACGAGUGGCGGACGGGUGAGUAAUGUCUGUGAAACUGCCUGAUGGAGGGGGUUUACUACUGGAAACGGUAGCUAAUACCGCAUACCAUCGGAUGUGCCGCGAUGGGGUUAGCUAGUGGUGGGGGUAAAGGCUCACCUAGGCGACGAUCCCUAGCUGGUCUGUGAGGAUGACCAGCCACACUGGAACUGAGAGACGGUCCAGACUCCGACGGGAGGCAGCAGUGGGGAAUAUAGCACAAUGGGCGCAAGCCUGAUGCAGCCAGGCCGCGUGUAUGAAGAAGGCCUUCGGGUUGGAAAGUACUUUCAGCGGGGAGGCGUUACCAGCAGAAGAAGCACCGGCUAACUCCGUGCCAGCAGCCGCGGUAAUAC
rnacentral:rRNA from 1 species